UACGUAGGGGGCUAGCGUUGUCCGGAAUCAUUGGGCGUAAAGAGCGUGUAGGCGGCCCGGUAAGUCCGCUGUGAAAGCCCGAGGCUCAACCUCGGAACUGCCUUCGAUACUGCGGGUCUCGAGUCCGGGAGAGGUGAGUGGAAUUCCUAGUGUAGAGGUGAAAUUCGUAGAUAUUCGGAAGAACACCAGUGGCGAAGGCGGCUCACUGGACCGGUAUUGACGCUGAGGUGCGAAAGCGUGGGGAGCAAACAGG
rnacentral:rRNA from 1 species